UAGGGAAUCUUCCGCAAUGGGCGAAAGCCUGACGGAGCAACGCCGCGUGAGUGAUGAAGGUCUUCGGAUCGUAAAACUCUGUUAUUAGGGAAGAACAAAUGUGUAAGUAACUAUGCACGUCUUGACGGUACCUAAUCAGAAAGCCACGGCUCACUACGUGCCAGCAGCCGCGGUAAUACGUAGGUGGCAAGCGUUAUCCGGAAUUAUUGGGCGUAAAGCGCGCGUAGGCGGUUUUUUAAGUCUGAUGUGAAAGCCCACGGCUCAACCGUGGAGGGUCAUUGGAAACUGGAAAACUUGAGUGCAGAAGAGGAAAGUGGAAUUCCAUGUGUAGCGGUGAAAUGCGCAGAGAUAUGGAGGAACACCAGUGGCGAAGGCGACUUUCUGGUCUGUAACUGACGCUGAUGUGCGAAAGCGUGGGGAUCAAACAGG
rnacentral:rRNA from 1 species